rnacentral:rRNA from 1 species
GACGAACGCUGGCGGCGUGCUUAACACAUGCAAGUCGAGCGGAAAGGCCACUUCGGUGGUACUCGAGUGGCGAACGGGUGAGUAACACGUGAGUAAUCUGCCCCUCACUUUGGGAUAGCCACCGGAAACGGUGAUUAAUACCGGAUAUGACCAUAUGUCGCAUGGCGUGUGGUGGAAAGUUUUUCGGUGAGGGAUGUGCUCGCGGCCUAUCAGCUUGAUGGUGAGGUAAUGGCUCACCAUGGCUUCGACGGGUAGCCGGCCUGAGAGGGUGACCGGUCACACUGGGACUGAGACACGGCCCAGACUCCUACGGGAGGCAGCAGUGGGGAAUAUUGGACAAUGGGCGGAAGCCUGAUCCAGCAACGCCGCGUGAGGGAUGACGGCCUUCGGGUUGUAAACCUCUUUCAGUACCGACGAAGCGCAAGUGACGGUAGGUACAGAAGAAGCACCGGCCAACUACGUG